GAAGCGGUAAUCGGGUCGCCGGGAUUCGGGCUCGGUUCUAGGAACCUCUGUACGGGUGUGCUUAGAAACCAGCACUGAGUCGGCUCUCGCUCCUCCCCGACUGCUGAUCUAGGUGGUGUUUUCCCACCUCCGCCCGCUCCUCUGCCUGCUGCGCCUGAGUUAACUGCCUUCCGGACCCUUCGAGGCCGCCGGACCCUCUGAACCAGAGGACGUCCCCAAAGCUAGUCUUUUGUACUCUCCUCUCCUGCAAGAGGCUCACAACGGCCUCUAUAAGAGCCUGUGUUCAUUUUCUGUUGCUGUAAAAUUUCCUGAGGAACUGAGGCCCUCGGUCCAACAGUCCAUGGGGAACUGAAUUGUGCCAACCACCCUGUGAAUGAGCUUGGCGUCAGACCCACCCCUGUGGAGCCUCAAGAUACCCACAGCCCGAGCAAAACCCUGAGCUGGGGCCCGGGAAGCAGCACCCAGAUUUUGGACUUGCAGACACUGUGAGCCAAAACUGACUCCAGACAAAUGGAAAAGGGGCUGAACAUGACUCAGAGAAACUGCAGUCUGAACGCUAACAUGUGACUACAGGGGAACUUGAAGAAAAUGGCAGAGCCCAUUCUGCUCCUGUCCCUGGUAUCAUUUUACCUUGUAAAAAAAUUGCUCAGGAAAUCAUCAA